rnacentral:rRNA from 1 species
GACGAACGCUGGCGGCGUGCCUAAUACAUGCAAGUAGAACGCACAGGUUAUACCUUAGCUGGCUGCACCAGAGACGGUGAGUUGCGAAAGGGUGAGUAACGCGUAGGUAACCUGCCGGGUAGCGGCGGGUAACUAUGGGAAAUGAUAGCUAAUACCGCAUGCUAUUGAUUGUUGCAUGAUAAUUGAUUGAAGGAGGCGAUUGCAUCACGACCAGAUGGCCCUGCGUUGUAUUAGCUAGUAGGUGAGGUAACGGCUCACCUAGGCGACGAUACAUAGCCGACCUGCGUGGGUGAGUGGCCGCACUGGGAGUGAGACACGGCACAUAGUGACAGAGGAGGCAGCAGUAGGGAUUCGUCGGCAAUGGGCGAAGGUUUGACCGAGAAAGGCGGAGUGAGUAAGGAAGAUUUCCGGAUCGUAGAGCACUGUCGUAAGGGAAGAACGCGUGUGAGCGUGGAAAGAUCAGACUGUGACGGUAACUUGCAAGGAAGGGACGGCUAACUACGUG